GCCUGAGUGGUGAAAUGGUAUACACGCUAGUUUCAGGUACUAGUGCCGAUUGCGGCAUAAGAGUUCGAGUCUCUUCUCAGGCACCA
rnacentral:tRNA from 1 species